UACAGAGGUCCCGAGCGUUGUUCGGAUUCACUGGGCGUAAAGGGUGCGUAGGUGGCGAGGUAAGUCGGAUGUGAAAUCUCGGAGCUCAACUCCGAAAUGGCAUUGGAAACUACCUUGCUCGAGGGUUGGAGGGGGGGACUGGAAUACUUGGUGUAGCAGUGAAAUGCGUAGAUAUCAAGUGGAACACCAGUGGCGAAGGCGAGUCCCCUGGACAAACUCCUGACACUGAGGCACGAAAAGCUAGGGGGAGCAAACAGG
rnacentral:rRNA from 1 species